rnacentral:rRNA from 1 species
UACGAAGGGGGCUAGCGUUGCUCGGAAUGACUGGGCGUAAAGGGUGCGUAGGCGGUUUGGUAAGUCUGAUGUGAAAUCUAUGGGCUCAACUCAUAGUCUGCAUCGGAAACUGCCGGGCUUGAGUGUGGGAGAGGUGAGUGGAAUUCCUGGUGUAGCGGUGAAAUGCGCAGAUAUCAGGAGGAACACCGAUGGCGAAGGCAGGUCUCUGGGCAUUAACUGACGCUGAGGAGCGAAAGCAUGGGGAGCGAGCAGG